ensembl:snRNA U6 U6 spliceosomal RNA
GUUCUGACUUCAGUAACACAUAUACUAAAACUGGAAUAAUACAGAGAGGAUUAGUACAGCUCCUUGCAAGAAUGAUAUGCGAAUUUGUGAAGCAUUCCAUAUUUUG